rnacentral:rRNA from 2 species
UACGAAGGGUGCAAGCGUUACUCGGAAUUACUGGGCGUAAAGCGUGCGUAGGCGGUUUGUUAAGUCCGUUGUGAAAGCCCUGGGCUCAACCUGGGAAUUGCAGUGGAUACUGGCGAGCUAGAGUGCGGUAGAGGAUGGUGGAAUUCCCGGUGUAGCGGUGAAAUGCGUAGAGAUCGGGAGGAACACCCGUGGCGAAGGCGGCCAUCUGGACCAGCACUGACGCUGAGGCACGAAAGCGUGGGGAGCAAACAGG